rnacentral:rRNA from 1 species
GACGAACGCUGGCGGCGUGCCUAAUACAUGCAAGUAGAACGCUGGAGGAGGAGCUUGCUCUUCUGGAUGAGUUGCGAACGGGUGAGUAACGCGUAGGUAACCUGCCUGGUAGCGGGGGAUAACUAUUGGAAACGAUAGCUAAUACCGCAUAAGAGUAGAUGUUGCAUGACAUUUGCUUAAAAGGUGCAAUUGCAUCACUACCAGAUGGACCUGCGUUGUAUUAGCUAGUUGGUGGGGUAACGGCUCACCAAGGCGACGAUACAUAGCCGACCUGAGAGGGUGAUCGGCCACACUGGGACUGAGACACGGCCCAGACUCCUACGGGAGGCAGCAGUAGGGAAUCUUCGGCAAGGGACGGAAGUCUGACCGAGCAACGCCGCGUGAGUGAAGAAGGUUUUCGGAUCGUAAAGCUCUGUUGUAAGAGAAGAACGAGUGUGAGAGUGGAAAGUUCACACUGUGACGGUAUCUUACCAGAAAGGGACGGCUAACUACGUG